rnacentral:misc_RNA from 1 species
UUUCCGUAGGUGAACCUGCGGAAGGAUCAUUAAAGAGUAAGGGUCUUCGGGCCCGAUCUCCAACCCUUUGUUUAACUACCAUGUUGCUUUGGCGGGCCCGUCUCACGACCGCCGGAAGUUUGGCUUCGACCAAACUUCUGGCCCGUGCCCGUCAGUGGCCCCUUCAAAUUCUUGAUCAAGUAUGAUGUCUUAGUUAAAAACUUAAUAGUUAAAACUUUCAACAACGGAUCUCUUGGUUCUC